rnacentral:snoRNA from 1 species
GUCUCGGUGAAUAGCUCAGACCAGGAAGUGCCGUAUGACACUGAAAACAGCAGCUGCUUCUCUGCCACUGAAAACAGAGAU